AGCGAACGCUGGCGGCAGGCUUAACACAUGCAAGUCGAGCGGGCACUUCGGUGUCAGCGGCAGACGGGUGAGUAACACGUGGGAACGUACCCUUUGGUUCGGAAUAACGCUGGGAAACUAGCGCUAAUACCGGAUACGCCCUUUUGGGGAAAGGCUUGCUGCCGAAGGAUCGGCCCGCGUCUGAUUAGCUAGUUGGUGGGGUAAUGGCCUACCAAGGCGACGAUCAGUAGCUGGUCUGAGAGGAUGAUCAGCCACACUGGGACUGAGACACGGCCCAGACUCCUACGGGAGGCAGCAGUAGGGAAUAUUGUGCAAUGGGCGCAGACCUGAUCAAGCCAUGCCGGGUAAGUGAUGAAGGCCUUAGGGUUGUAAAGCUCUUUUGUCCGGGACGAUAAUGACGGUACCGGAAGAAUAAGCCCCGGCUAACUUCGUG
rnacentral:rRNA from 1 species